rnacentral:sRNA from 1 species
UGAUGCCAGGGGCAAAAGGUCUAAUCUCACAUGAGCUUGCUCAUAAGUGGGUGAAAGACCUUUGGACCCGCGAUAUACAAAUAUUGGGGAGAAUUGUGGAAGUUCGUAGCACGGAACAAUUCGCAGGCAUAA